rnacentral:lncRNA from 10 species
AAAAAAGGAAAUAGAGAGAAUCUGUUUGGCUUCAUUAACCAUUAUCCUGAAUAGAGGGCCUCUUUUAGGCAGGUAUUUCAGGCUCAGCCAGCUCAUUGGCUGGCGCCAUUCCUGUUCCAGUCAGCCAUGGCCAGUGGAUAGAAACACACACUACAGAACAUGGCAGCCACGCUGAGGAAGUACCUUUCACCAUGUGGUAGACACUCAGAGACUGCUCUGAAAAGGGAUCUCUGGAGCCAGAAUGGCCCCCCAGAGCUGUUCUCAGUUGACCCAAGAUGACCAGUCCUUUAUGUUCCUGCAUCAUUUGGUGAUCACAUAGAGAAGAGAAAGAAAGAGAACUCCUUGAACUUGAAAACAGACCAUCAAUGAUGAGGAAAUUAAAGUUCAGAGGAAUGAAGUAACUUGUCCAAGUUCCCACAGCUAGCAAGGUGCAGAACCGGAAAUCAAAAUCUAGGCCUGCCUCCUAUCGAAGCUCGUGCUGGUAACAACCACACUGCACAGGAGAGUCCACAGGCUCUUACUGCAUAUUUGCUCGAUGUCCAGCUUUCACGAAAUAGCAUCACCUACUCUAGUGUUUCUGUGCCUGUUAAUUCCAGCACAACUAUAACUCCAAUGUGCUUUUAUUCUAAAAAAAUUCCCUGAUGUAAAUAUCAUUCAAAAUUUCCAUGAGUUUCCUUUAAGUGUGGAGUAGGAUAAUCUUCGCAAGCCUUUUUGGUUUUAGGCUGAGAAUUCCCUGAAAGAGCAUCUUUAUUUUCCUCUUCCUGAAAGUUUUUACAUUAACCACCUCGCCAUCCAUCAAAUCAACUCUUCCUCACAGUACUUGAAAUUUAAAAUGAAGAGCUUGGGCCCAGCCAGGCUAUUGCUGUGAAAUUGUGUCAUGCUCACUUAAUAUGUAUGGUGCAUUCUCCCAGGAAGCCUGGAGUGCAAAGUGUUAUUAAUUUUCAGCCAGUGUCCCAGUUUUGUCACUGGCAUAGCAUUUUCUCCUUCUCUGUGAAAGGUACUAAAUUUCAAGUGCAAAUGCUGAGCUGGAACGUGUGAGGCAGAUGACACCAGAUGAUCCAUUUCCCCCAUUCCUGGAAUAGUACAA